rnacentral:rRNA from 1 species
UAGGGAAUAUUAGAAAUGGACGAAAGUCUGAUCUAGCAACACCGCGUGUGCGAAGAAGGCCUUCGGGUCGUAAAGCACUUUUUGGAAGGAAUAGGAAGGAAUGUACUUCCAGAAUAAGUCUCGGCUAACUACGUGCCAGCAGCCGCGGUAACACGUAGGAGGCAAACGUUAUCCGGAUUUACUGGGCGUAAAGCGCGUGUAGGUGGUACUGUAAGUAGGGCGUGAAAGCUCCUUGCUCAACUGGGAGAGGCCGUUCUAAACUACAGAACUAGAGGAUGGUAGAGGGAGGUGGAAUUCCAUGUGUAGCGGUGGAAUGCGCAGAUAUCUGGAGGAACACCGGUGGCGAAGGCGGCCUCCUGGACCAUUCCUGACACUCAGACGCGAAAGCUAGGGUAGCAAACG